rnacentral:rRNA from 1 species
GACGAACGCUGGCGGCGUGCUUAGCACAUGCAAGUCGAACGGAAAGGCCCUGCUUUUGUGGGGUGCUCGAGUGGCGAACGGGUGAGUAACACGUGAGUAACCUGCCCUUGACUUUGGGAUAACUUCAGGAAACUGGGGCUAAUACCGGAUAGGAGCUCCUGCUGCAUGGUGGGGGUUGGAAAGUUUCGGCGGUUGGGGUUGGACUCGCGGCUUAUCAGCUUGUUGGUGGGGUAGUGGCUUACCAAGGCUUUGACGGGUAGCCGGCCUGAGAGGGUGACCGGCCACAUUGGGCCUGAGAUACGGCCCAGACUCCUACGGGAGGCAGCAGUGGGGAAUAUUGCACAAUGGGCGGAAGCCUGAUGCAGCAAAGCCGCGUGCGGGAUGACGGCCUUCGGGUUGUAAACCGCUUUCGCCUGUGACGAAGCGUGAGUGACGGUAAUGGGUAAAGAAGCACCGGCUAACUACGUG